rnacentral:lncRNA from 1 species
UACUCAUUAAACACUCUGUACAUAAUGGGGAUUCACACACCUCUAGGUCAAGCACUACUAUAAUCCUCAAUACAUCAUCAAAUCAUUCAUUACAUUACAUGGUCAUAAAUACUUAUUACAUCAUGUUCAUGUCCACUACUAUCUAUUACAACAUACAUGACUGAACUUCACUCUAGCCGACUUCCUGAUCUAUCCUGUACCUGCAACUCUGGGGAUAAAGGGAGUGGGGUGAGCUACUAGAGCCCAGUGAGCAGAAUAAUAAAACAUCAAUUUAAA